rnacentral:rRNA from 1 species
AUUGAACGCUGGCGGCAGGCCUAACACAUGCAAGUCGAGCGGAUGAAGGGAGCUUGCUCCUGGAUUCAGCGGCGGACGGGUGAGUAAUGCCUAGGAAUCUGCCUGGUAGUGGGGGAUAACGUCCGGAAACGGGCGCUAAUACCGCAUACAUCCUGAGGGAGAAAGUGGGGGAUCUUCGGACCUCACGCUAUCAGAUGAGCCUAGGUCGGAUUAGCUAGUUGGUGGGGUAAAGGCCUACCAAGGCGACGAUCCGUAACUGGUCUGAGAGGAUGAUCAGUCACACUGGAACUGAGACACGGUCCAGACUCCUACGGGAGGCAGCAGUGGGGAAUAUUGGACAAUGGGCGAAAGCCUGAUCCAGCCAUGCCGCGUGUGUGAAGAAGGUCUUCGGAUUGUAAAGCACUUUAAGUUGGGAGGAAGGGCAGUAAGUUAAUACCUUGCUGUUUUGACGUUACCAACAGAAUAAGCACCGGCUAACUUCGUGC